UAAAUUAGUAAUUUAAUAUUUUGAAAAUAUUAUUAAGAAUUUUUAAUAAUUCUCUAAUUU
rnacentral:tRNA from 1 species